rnacentral:rRNA from 1 species
AUACGAAGGGUGCAAGCGUUAAUCGGAAUUACUGGGCGUAAAGCGCGCGUAGGUGGUUUUGUAAGACAGUGGUGAAAUCCCCGGGCUCAACCUGGGAACUGCCUUUGUGACUGCAAGGCUAGAGUACGGCAGAGGGGGAUGGAAUUCCGCGUGUAGCAGUGAAAUGCGUAGAUAUGCGGAGGAACACCGAUGGCGAAGGCAAUCCCCUGGGCCUGUACUGACGCUCAUGCACGAAAGCGUGGGGAGCAAACAGGAUUAGAUACCCUGGUAGUCCACGCCCUAAACGAUGUCAACUGGUUGUUGGGUCUUCAUUGACUCAGUAACGAAGCUAACGCGUGAAGUUGACCGCCUGGGGAGUACGGCCGCAAGGUUGAAACUCAAAUGAAUUGACGGGG